CCUACGGGCGGCAGCAGUAGGGAAUCUUCCACAAUGGGCGAAAGCCUGAUGGAGCCACGCCGCGUGGGUGAAGAAGGUCUUCGGAUCGUAAAACACUGUUGUUAGAGAAGAAAGUGCGUGAGAGUAACUGUUCACGUUUCGACGGUAUCUAACCAGAAAGCAACGGCUAACUACGUGCCAGCAGCCGCGGUAAUACGGAGGUGGCAAGCGUUAUCCGGAUUUAUUGGGCGUAAAGGGCACGCAGGCGGUCUUUUAAGUCAGAUGUGAAAGCCAUGGGCUUAACCGGAGUAGUGCAUUGGAAACUGGGAAACUUGAGUGCAGAAGAGGAGAGUGGAACUCCAUGUGUAGCGGUGAAAUGCGUAGAUAUAUGGAAGAACACCAGUGGCGAAAGCGGCUCUCUGGUCUGUAACUGACGCUGAGGUUCGAAAGCAUGGGUAGCAAACAGGAUUAGAUACCCCUGUAGUC
rnacentral:rRNA from 1 species